GACGUAGGGUGCAAGCGUUGUUCGGAAUUACUGGGCGUAAAGCGCGUGUAGGCGGUUGUCCAAGUUGGAUGUGAAAGCCUUGAGCUUAACUCAAGAAAUGCAUUCAGGACUGGAUGACUAGAGGACCGGAGAGGAUAGUGGAAUUCCCAGUGUAGUGGUGAAAUACGUAGAGAUUGGGAAGAACACCAGUGGCGAAGGCGGCUAUCUGGACGGUUUCUGACGCUAAGACGCGAAAGCGUGGGGAGCAAACAGG
rnacentral:rRNA from 1 species